rnacentral:rRNA from 1 species
UACGUAGGGGGGCAAGCGUUGUCCGGAUUUAUUGGGCGUAAAGAGCGUGUAGGCGGCUGGGUAGGUCCGUUGUGAAAACUCGAGGCUCAACCUCGAGACGCCGAUGGAAACCCCCCAGCUAGAGUCCGGAAGAGGAGAGUGGAAUUCCUGGUGUAGCGGUGAAAUGCGUAGAUAUCAGGAGGAACACCGGUGGUGUAGACGGCUCUCUGGACCGUAACUGACGCUGAGACACGAAAGCGUGGGUAGCAAACAGG